rnacentral:rRNA from 1 species
GAUGAACGCUGGCGGCGUGCCUAAUACAUGCAAGUCGAGCGAACGGACGAGAAGCUUGCUUUUCUGAUGUUAGCGGCGGACGGGUGAGUAACACGUGGAUAACCUACCUAUAAGACUGGGAUAACUUCGGGAAACCGGAGCUAAUACCGGAUAAUAUUUUGAACCGCAUGGUUCAAAAGUGAAAGACGGUCUUGCUGUCACUUAUAGAUGGAUCCGCGCUGCAUUAGCUAGUUGGUAAGGUAACGGCUUACCAAGGCAACGAUGCAUAGCCGACCUGAGAGGGUGAUCGGCCACACUGGAACUGAGACGCGGUCCAGGGGCCUACGGGAGGCAGCAGUAGGGAAUCUUCCGCAGUGGGCGAAAGCCUGACGGAGCAACGGCGCGUGAGUGAUGAAGGUCUUCGGAUCGUAAAACUCUGUUAUUAGGGAAGAACAUAUGUGUAAGUAACUGUGCACAUCUUGACGGUACCUAAUCAGAAAGCCACGGCUAACUACGUG